UCGAAUGUUAUGCAGGCACGUG
rnacentral:miRNA from 1 species